rnacentral:rRNA from 1 species
UACGGAGGGUGCAAGCGUUAUCCGGAUUUACUGGGUUUAAAGGGUGCGUAGGUGGGUAGGAAAGUCAGUGGUGAAAUCUUCGGGCUUAACCCGGAAACUGCCAUUGAUACUAUUUAUCUUGAAUACUUUGUAGGUAAGCGGAAUAUGUCAUGUAGCGGUGAAAUGCUUAGAUAUGACAUAGAACACCAAUUGCGAAGGCAGCUUACUACACAGUUAUUGACACUGAGGCACGAAAGCGUGGGGAUCAAACAGG